rnacentral:rRNA from 1 species
GACGAACGCUGGCGGCGUGCUUAACACAUGCAAGUCGAACGGAAAGGCCCUGCUUUUGUGGGGUGCUCGAGUGGCGAACGGGUGAGUAACACGUGAGUAACCUGCCCUUGACUUUGGGGUAACUUCAGGGAACUGGGGCUAAUACCGGAUAGGAGCUCCUGCUGCAUGGUGGGGGUUGGAAAGUUUCGGCGGUUGUGGAUGGACUCGCGGCUUAUCAGCUUGUUGGUGGGGUAGUGGCUUACCAAGGCUUUGACGGGUAGCCGGCCUGGGAGGGUGACCGGCCACAUUGGGACUGAGGGACGGCCCAGACUCCUACGGGAGGCAGCAGGGGGGAAUAUGGCACAAUGGGCGGAAGCCUGAUGCAGCAACGCCGCGUGCGGGAUGACGGCCUUCGGGGGGUAAACCGCUGUCGCCGGAGACGAAGCGGGAGUGACGGUAAUGGGUAAAGAAGCACCGGCUAACUACGUG